ensembl:lncRNA
GACGGGGGUAAGACGGGGUUGAAGGAGAGGACGGGACGGGGAAGAGGAAGGGGAGUCAGGAACACAAUAACGGAUGAAAUCAGAAUGACUGUGGUUGACCAUGUUGUCAACCAUGGAAUGAGCAUGAGGAAGGCUGUGCAACGGGUUCAACCAAAUCUGAGCCACUAUACUAUUGCAGGUAUCAUCUGGAUAUUUAGAAAUGAGAACCGAAAACUGGUGGAAGAGAUCGACUGUUCACCCCAGAGCAGGAGACCCACAUUGUCAAUAUGAUCAUUGCAAAUAACUGCAUCAGAGAACUGCAGGACCACAUAAUGGCAGAUAUCACCACAUUCCGAAACGUCAACAGAAGAGUCAUGGAGCUAGAAGCAGAUUCAGUGCAUCAUGAGCUAAUAUACGUGGACGAGGGAGGUUUCAACCUUGCAAAAACAAGGGGCCGCGGCAGAAAUAUCACCGGACACCGUGCCAUCAUCAACGUCCCGGGACAACGUGGUGGCAACAUAACAAUGUGUGACUAUUAGACAAAACGCCGUCCUUCACCAUCAUGCAAUCCUAGCACCAUACAACACUGCACACAUUAUCACAUUUCUGGACACCCUCCAUAACAGACUAAUUCCUGAUGACCAGGGGCCAGAGCAGCCCAGGUACGUUAUAAUUUGGGACAAUGUUAGUUUUCACCGGGCUGCUGUGGUCUGCAAUAUGCCCUGCACACAGAAAAAGCAGAAGCCACAAGUGUUUUUCAUUUAUACUAUCAGUGCGUAGUUGGUGCUUCGUGUGCUUAUUCAAAUGAUGGUUUGUGUGUACUGUACUGACGCAAAAACACAAUUUUUAGAAAAAGAGUUUGAAGAGUUUUGCAAGAACUGUUUGCUUUGCAAGAGAUGUAUAAUGUUUUGCUGUUUUGGUGUAAGGUAUUGUGGUUAGUGUGUAGAGUUUUGCAAAAAAUAGCCUAUAGUUUCAAAGAUGGUGCCUAAGCAAUUAGAAAAAACAGUAAUAAUUGCAAGCCUCACAUUCUUUGCAGAAACUCAAAUUCCUUGUCCUCUAGCCCCCUCUGGUGGGAUGUUUCCUCUAGAUAUAAAACGUGUCCUUGUAUUCUCUCUACCAGUUACACUAAUCAUUCCGGUCCCUCCUUUUAUCCGUCUCCCUGCUUCACCAGGUGGGUCCAGGGAGAGCACAAGUUCAGCCUUCCUGGCAGUGAAAUGUAUCGGAGCAUUCUUCCCCGUUGUGGACCUGGCCACUCUCGGGGGAUACUUGGAGUCCUGGAACUGGCCCCAUCCUGACCUUUUGACCUACUGUAUGACUAAUCACACUGACAUAUUCAAUGAGCGAUGGGUGCAUGAGACACUGAGGUAUUGCUCCAUGCUUAUAAUUCUGGAUCAAAUACACUAUGAAAACAAACAUGUUGACAUAAUGUGGUCACCCUGAUAUUGGGGAAUUCAUGACACCCUGUAAAAAUGACAUUUUAUUGUAUUCAUCUGUUUUGCUUGUCUCCAAUGUUCCCGUCUACUGUAUGCAAUAAAGAAUGACCAACCCUUCCCAUGAAUAGCGAUAUGUCACUGUGCCAAAGAUGUAACAAUACGAGAGUUGAGGGGAUGACACACCGUCCAUGUUGGGCUCACAUAGCAAGACAGUCAGACUGUACCACCAUUGUGUGUCUUUUGAUAAUAA